rnacentral:rRNA from 1 species
CAGGGCUUAAAUGUAGUCUGACAGGGGUGGAAACACCCUUUUCUUCGGACAGAUUACAAGGUGCUGCAUGGUUGUCGUCAGCUCGUGCCGUGAGGUGUCAGGUUAAGUCCUAUAACGAGCGCAACCCCUGUUGUUAGUUGCCAGCGAGUCAAGUCGGGAACUCUAACAAGACUGCCGGUGCAAACCGUGAGGAAGGUGGGGAUGACGUCAAAUCAUCACGGCCCUUACGUCCUGGGCCACACACGUGCUACAAUGGCAGGUACAAUGGGCAGCCACUGCGUAAGCAGGAGCGAAUCCACAAAACCUGUCUCAGUUCGGAUCGGGGUCUGCAACUCGACCCCGUGAAGCUGGAAUCGCUAGUAAUCGGAUAUCAGCCAUGAUCCGGUGAAUACGUUCCCGGGUCUUGUA